rnacentral:rRNA from 1 species
GAUCAUGGCUCGGGAUGAACGCUAGCUACAGGCUUAACACAUGCAAGUCGAGGGGCAGCAUGUUGGUUGCUUGCAACCAAUGAUGGCGACCGGCGCACGGGUGAGUAACGCGUAUCCAACCUUCCGCAUACUCGGGAAUAGCCUUUCGAAAGAAAGAUUAAUGCCCGAUGGUUUCCCGAAUCCGCAUGAGAACGGGAAUAAAGAUUCAUCGGUAUGCGAUGGGGAUGCGUCCCAUUAG